rnacentral:lncRNA from 1 species
ACCGCGAGUAAUACUAAAAUUUGCAGAGCUGUACUUUCCGUAUUUUACAACAUUUCGCAACCAAACUUUGCAAUUUUACUAAUUUUAGGAUGCUGUUUUGAGCUAAUGAUAUAUUUCGUCUUUCUUGUCUAGAUAAAAAAAGUCGAUAGCUGGAAUUGUGUAUUCGCAGGCUUUACAAUGCAAACAGACGUGAGACGAUUUAAAGUACUUUGAGUUACCUGUGAACACUUGCUGUUGUCUAGCUAGACAUUAUAUUUUCUACUUCUUGUUUACCUCAUCCUAUCCUUUUUCUUCAACCUCUAUCGUUACUUCCUGCCUUCAUACGUUUCAAAGCCAUCCUGGGCCAAUUGGCAAUUGUCACGAGGUGUGAUGUAACGAUGUUACGACUACUAGGACUGACACGCUUCCAAAAAUUUCGUACUACAUAUUCUUCUCUAAUAUAUUGUAAUAACGUUAUUAGAUGCCCUCAUACAUAAUUUAAACAACUGAGUACUGUAGGAGCUCUCGACUGCUACUCUGUAGGUUUUGGCGGGGACAUAACAAUAAGCGAUAAACAUUGGAAAUCACAACAUGCAGUGACGGCAACUGGAUAUGUGAUCUUAGGGGUGGAAAAAAUAUUUUAUUUUCUGGGGCCGCAACGAAGUGGGAAAAUUUUCUGCGAGUUGUCGACACAAGUCAUGUAUAAUUUAAAUUAAUUACAGUGCGUCUACUGUAAGUGGGGCCACUUAGAGAACACUAACCAAUCGCAUUGCAGAACAGAAAGAAAAAUCUAAUCAAACUAAAGCUCGUCCAAUCAAAAGAAAGAUUCAGGAAGCCAUUAACUGCAAUGUUUACUUUUACAUGUCUACUUUUACCGUUUGACAUUCGUUUAUUUGUUCGAAUUGUUUUUGCCCUAAUGCUGAUUGGCUAAUGCGCCGUUUGUUGAUUUUUUCACUUUCUGUUCUGCAAUGUGAUUGGUUAGUGUUCUCUAAGUGGCCCCACUUACAGUAGACGCACUGUAAAGGCUCACUUGCAAAGAGGACAAAUAAGACUUAAGAAUUAUUAAAUAACCAUAGUACCAUAUAAAAGCUGUGGCAGUCCUACAAGAUUUUCUUUCAUAAAGCAGCUGAGGAAAGGAUUUAAUUGAAAUAAACAAGUGAGGAAAGACUGUGAAUUUGUGAAAAUUGGAAAGCGGUUCUAAACUUUAUUAAUAGUUGCAUCAUAAUUAGUAGUCUGAAAACAAAUGUGAUUUGGAAGCUGGACAAAAGGUAUUGUAAGUUCUAUGCUUUUGUUCGCCUUUAUGGAAAUUUGUGCACUUUCACAGUGAGUGAACAUUUUGUUCUAGAUAAUGAAGCAAUUGCCCAAUGGAAACCUCAGACUUCAACCGUAAGAUUUUAGUAUUGAUCAACAAAUUGUGUACUUUCAGGUACAUUUCAAGUUUUCAACAUCAAUUGAAGUUUGGUUAGGAAACUACUUGAAGUUUAUCAAUCUUCCUAACGAUGUUUAUUUUCUAUUAACUAUGAUUGCCUUUAGUUGUGUUUUAUAUAAUAUAAACAAUGGCAGACACUUUGGGGAAAAAUAAAUUCCAUAUUUUGUUUAUCAGACAAGAAGACAGAGUAUGCAAGGUCUGCCAGUCAGGACUCGGGAGAAAUUGAAAUGGAACAUCACUUCCUGUGAAGCCUAAGUCUUUGGGAAUACUUUUUAAAUUACUUGGAAUGUGAUCCCACCAAUGAAGCAGAUCAUAAGCAGAUCUAAUGAACACAGUUUACCAGUUAAGAUAAUGAAAUCAACUGACGAAACUGUGAUAAAAUUAUCGAAAUUUAUCUCUUUCUGGUUUGAGAAGAGAUCUAAAUAGCCUGCUCGCAGACUUUGUUAUUCUUACGCCAAGCGACGAAAAAGUUCGUCGAUCUAAAUGCCUUGAAGAUCUAAAUGCCUUGAAAUCAUGAAUGCUGACAGUCAAUAGGCUGUUUAACUAACCCAAACUUCUUCAAUUAUACGCCGUAAAUAGGGUACUCAUCUGUAAAGUAAGUCUUCCUUUAUAUCAAUAACUUCAUUUGUAUUUCUUGUAUUACUCGAUAUGGACAGUAUGUCAUACUACCACAAAACAUUUUGCAUUUGCAGAUAUUUAUACCAACUAAUAAGCAAUACUAAAUACGUGUAUGUAAAGUCAUGCUAAUAAGGUAAGACAGUGGUAUGAUACAAAGCCAACAAAGGGCCAAAGGGGUAGAACAAUGUUGCCUGCAAAUGCGGCUACAUUACGCUAUCAAAGUUCUUUCAGAAAUUAUUUUGGGGGCACCCCCUACACCUAGUGUCUGUCCCUGAACAAAAUGGCUACUUAUUGGUGCAGUUAGUCCAUAGAUAUCUUAUAUACACUAGAUAGUGCAUCUAAUUAUUCUGCAAUUCAAAAAUUGAAGCCGUGAUUGCAGUCUCAGGUCGUUCCCAUGAAAUGAGAAGAUUCGUAUGUUUUCUAUUUCUUAAACAGGGAACUUAAACAUUAAGUUAAACCUAUUCCAAAUACAUUUUUAAACUAUUCAAAUGAUGAAAGUUAUUGUUGUUUUUAAGCGUUUAUUAGCAAGUGGGAACGACCAAUAUGGCCGCCAUCUAUUCAAAUGGGAGUAACCGCUGGGAUAUUCUUGGCUUCAAUUUUAUUAAAAGAGAUGCGCUAUCUAGUGUAUAUAAGAUAUCUAUGAGUUAGUCUCUUUCUUUCUAUUCUUUUUCUGCCCUUCCUUUUUUUCUUUCUUUGCUUUUCUUUCUUUCCCCCUUUUUCUUCCUUCCUUUUUUUCUUUCUGCCAGCAAAAAAUAUUUUCUGGAACCAUUGGUCCGCUAUAUUUUCCACCCCUGGUGAUCUUAAUUAGCAUAUAAUUUCGUCAACUUUCAAACCUAUAAAUUUCUUAUUAUUAUAGUAAGUCAUUUGUGAUCAUACUAUAGUAAGUCAUUUGUGAUCUAAUUAAUUAAUUGCAAGGACAGCAGGAUAUCCUGUAAAGUCCGAAUUGUCGUAUUUGAAUCAAUAUUCCUGGUUACGUUUCAUGAAAUUUAUUCAAAUGUAAAUGUUCAUGAUAUUGGGACAAUGUUUUACAUUGCUUGAGAAAAGUUUACAAUCAAAAGAGUUGCUUAUUCGUC